rnacentral:lncRNA from 1 species
CACCUACCGAGCUAACUUACUCUUUAUAACGGCUUCCGGGGUUCCGUGACUUGCGAACCUGAUCCCUGGGGAUGAACGCUUUGGCUGUGUUCGGUCUUUUGCUACAACCACAAUUCUCAUGAACUUUCAGAUCUAUUAUCUCAUUCUUCUCAAGAAACUGCCCAUGUAAUUUGAAAGUGAGGAGCUUCCAACCCUGAAAUGAAGAAAAAUCUCUCAGAGAUGGGGCCAGAAAGUUUACUGCCAAGGCAAAGAGGCCAGCCAGAGAUACGGAGCUGGGCCCUCGGCACAGUCCGAGUGAGGCAGGGAUUAUGCAGUAAAGAGGAAGACAGCUUAGAACAAACUGCCAGAACAGGGUGGUCGGCAGGUUUCUGCUUGGGUUGCUCUAUAUAGAAGGCCUGAGACCCCAAAUGAAACUUCCAAAAGAGAUUCCCUUGGCCUUUUGUUAACUGGAAAAUAAAUCCUUCACCAUCCCUCCUCCCAUGCCCCGUGCCCCGCCCUACAAAGCAGAGCCUCCUGAAGCAGCAUUUACUGUCAGGAAGACAGGAAAAGGAGCAUCUGGCAGGGAGUGACUCUUUUCCUUUCCAUUGCCACUGGUGCUUCCUCAAUACAGACCAGUCAUAGGGUGCAUACUCCCGGCAAGCUUAGCAACCAAUCCUUCGUAAGCUGUUCUUCCUUAUGGCGACACAACGUCAGGAUGCAGCAAAACAUCCCAACACCAUUUACUCCUCUGAUAGUGGUUUAUAGUCAAAUUCUUUUUGAGUUAGCAGUUUCUAUUGACUUCAUGGGGAUAUUAAGGGCCUCUGAGGCAGUAGGAAUAUCUCUGUUUGAUGGAAGAGGAGACAGAGGCAGGAUUCAAACAAAAAGGCAGUAUUGCUAAGGACAGAAACACUGACUUGGGAGUCAGAGAGGCCCAAGUUCAUAUCUCUUUUACUUUGCUGUGAGAUUUGGGGCAUAUCUCUUAUACAUCCAGAAGAGAUUAUGAUGAGGGUAAUGAUGAUGCCAACCUCAUAGCAUCAUGCUGACAAUUCCAUUAGAUACCACCUUUGAAGCACUUAGCACAGUGCUUGACAUGGAGGCAGUGGUCGAUAAAUGAUAACUUGAAGAAAGAUAAAGUAGUAGUGUACCAGAAAGAAAGCCCAUGUCCACCUGUUCCUGGGGUCAGUGGCUGGGUGGAGUUCUAGAGUUUGAGGAGUUUCCAGAGUUCUGGAAUCCUAAGAUAGAAAAGGGAACAUGGGUAGAAUAUCAACAAGGAGUCCAUUCUUCUCAGGGCAUGUAACGUGCAGACCAUCUCUUUAUCUACAAUCUUAGACUAUUCAUAGAGACUCAAAAAGUUGUUGAAAGUAGCCUUACAAGGGUUUACAAAAAUUAGCCUCUGGUUCCAGGAAAAUUUAAAUUUCUUUUCCUUCAAAAAUCUUUGAAAGCAAAAUUCACCUCUAAACAACAAAAUGGAAACAUGGUUUGCAACAGAGAUGGUCAGAGUUAAUACCUGUGGUGGAAGAGAUUAUUGUCAAAAAUAUUUAUUCUCUCCUCUCUCCACCUCCAUGGGCAGAGUAUGCAUCCUUGCCGUGGGCUCUGGGAGCAGCACAUGACUUGUUUUGACCAAUGGAAUGUUAGCAAGUGCAGUAGCCCAGAUGGUGAAGAAUUGAACUUGUGCUCCUGUGCUUCUGCCAUCACCUUGGAAAGAACCUGCCAAGCUAGCCUGUGGUCCCAUGAGAUGGACGAGAGACGCAUGGAGCAGAGCUGGCCCGACUGGGUCCAGCCUAUAUCAGUUAACCCAGAGAGGCAUGAGCUAAACAAAUGCUAUUUCCGUAUGAGAUCCUGUGAUUGUUUCUUAGGCACUCCUACUGAAGCAAUAAUUAAUGACAUGGAAGCUGAUACCACUGGCAUAGAAAUGGGAUUCUGCAAUAACAGAAAGCUAAAAUAUAUGGCAUUGAGCUUUGAAACCGGACAGUAGGUGAAGGCUAGAAAAAUGGCAACUUGUGUUACAUAGUGGUGAGAUAUUUGGUAAAACUACAUCCAGCAGUAACUUGGAAGAUAGAAAAUAUAUGUAAUGAACUUGUGAACUUGGGCAGGAUGUUGAAAACAUGAGCUGACUUCUUUUACUGUAUGUGAGAUAAGAUACUAUAAAAAAAGAGACAAUCUUAGAAAAGAACUGAUCAAUUUGCACUCAGAAUUUAGAGAGAAUAAUAAAAUAAUUUCUUAUCUCUAGUCUCUCCCCCCCAUGUAAAUUCUCAAAUUAAAAUAUAGCCUAGACCAAACUAAAUUACAGCAUAGACCAAAUAUAGGAAGCUGCCAAUAUAGCAUGGGGGGCUCAGGAUAAAGACCACAACAAGAGUGUAACAGCCUCUGUUAGGACCUCUAGAAGAAUUAAGGUAGUGCUAGUAGAGCCCCUGACCUGGAUAAAAGAGAUCCUAGGGAUUUUAAACACAUAGUCCCUAGGGAAACCAGGGAAAUGCAUCUCUCACGUCUCCCACUGUAGGAGCAUAAUUGAAAAGCCCAGCUACCGCACUCUGAACUCCAUCCCCACUCUCACUCCGAGGCCACACUUGCCAGGGGCUGUUCCCAGCCAGUGAUGGAGCAUGGUGGGGAUUCCAAGCAGACCUGCACCUAGAAGACAUGGGACACCUCUGACAAGCUACUUUAGCUUGAACACUCCCCUGAAGCUUUGCUGGACUCUCUUAGAGCUUUACUGUGGACUGAGAUGCUGCCACCCAACCUUCCUUCCCCUCCUCUCACCUUCAACAGGCGACAGACCUAUAUUACAGGCUGACAGCCCUCCCAGCAUCCCUCAUGUCCCUCCCCAUUUUUUCUCAUACUAUCUUGGCAUCUGGUUCUCAAAGGACACUGCUAACACAAGUGGCCCCAGAAGUGGCCCGAGAAGAAAAAGAUGAGGAUUUGGGACUGGAUCCCACCCCGACUUUUGUUGGUAGAUGCUCAGAUUGCUAAAGAUUCAUCAGUAGUAUCCUGGGGAAUGUCCCAGUGGAGAAGAAUGCAGUGGCAUCUUAAAAAUAUGGGAAGAACGCUGCCUAUAAACACUGUAGUUUUGGCUAAUUACUGCUAAGUUAUACAGAUGCCCUGCAAAGGGACAGAGACUGAGGGCCACUAACAAUUAAUGGUGAAGUGUGAGAACUAGAGGGUCUCUGAAGAUACUCCCAACGAGGUCCUUAUCUCCUGCAGUGGAAGAACAAACACAGCUAAGUGGCAGGCUCAAUGUCUAACUGUUAGUCACAGAGCUCCACAAACAUUUAAAUACUCAGCCAAUGCAGAUUUCUUAUGCAAAAGAGAGAGCCUUGGAGGGCAAAACCUGGGACCCUGAAAUGUGAUACAGGGACUUCUGGACAGAAGAUGUUGACCCUGCAGACUUCCCAUCCUUCCAGAGCCUCUGGGCUUGCAGACAUGGCCUACCCUUCCCUACUAAGAGCUAGCACUUCGGUGAUGGACAAUGCUGCAAGGCCCUCUCCCUCACAAGGCAAUAUGUGCCCCCUUAGAAGCUGACCCCAUGCCCUCUCCUGGUUGCUAGGCCAAUAACCUGAGUUAAAUUUCAUAAGAACCCAACUGGAGACAUGCUGUGCCUGACAGGAGAGGAAAGAGACUAUACACUGAAGGAAUUACAAGAAUCAGACUGCAUGUCCCAGCAGAAGCCAGGGGAGUACUCCCGGGAUUGAGUUUGAAGGCGCUUGAUCAAAGCAGCCAGAAGGUGAGACUGGGUAUGAAAACAUUAACGGACUUCAGGGUACUUUCUCUGAUUAAUGGAUUUAACACCCUAGGAAGGACCCCAGUGCAAACAGCUGCUGGGAUGGCUCUUAAAACUCUGGAAAAGCAAUGGCCACCCAGCGAACUGGAAAUGCUCUAAUUGCCCUGGCGGACAGUAGAGGAAGGCCUGAAGAGGCCAAGGGAAGUGGGCGUGCUGGAGUGGACAUAGUGUGUGAGGCCAGAAGACCCACGAGGGCACAAUGUUCCAUAGGGGGGUCCCAAAGACCACUCUUCAACUAGGCCACCAAUCACCAAGAAGAUUGGUGGGGGCCAGAUUUAGCAAAUAAACUAUAGGAUCCCCAGUUGCAUUUAAUGAUAGAAAAGCCAGGGUUACUAAUAUCCAUGGAAAUGACAGCGCUCCAAAGACUUAGAGGCAACAGGGUGCCACCUACUAUCUAUAAUCCAAAAAAGGCACAAGUAGAAGAACAGGAGGCUGACGGCAGACUGUCACCUCAAACAGAAAACACCAUCUCUUGUCCAAUUCCCAGACCUGGCUGGAACCACUGACUGGACAGAUGACUGGAUUUCUAGGAGGGAAGACCCUGCCAUGCCGUGGCAGAUAUAUACUGAGUGAUUUCCCAAAGGCUUCUACCGCCAUUUAUUCAGGUGACCGCAUGUCAUGCAAAGGGAAAUAACCAGAAUUUUCCAGGACCACUGAACAUAGGGUCUAAGUUGACACUUAAAUCCAGAGACCCAAGGCAUCAUAAUGACUCCCCUGUUAGGACUAAGGCCUCUGGAGCCAGGUAACAACUGUAAUCCUGGCUAAUACAGCCCACACAGGGCCCACGGGGUCCACAGACAUAACUCACACAAUCCCCAAGGGUAUAGUUGGAAAUAAUAUGCUCAGCAGUUGGAGUAACCCCCUCACUGGAGCCCUGGCUUAUAGAAUAGGAGCUAUGACAAUAGGAAAGGCUAAUUGGAAACCUCUGAACUGUUACCCCCUAACGCCUAGCUCAGUAUAGUUUCCCUGGGGGGGAUGGCAGGAUGAAUGUCACCAUUAAUGACCUACAAGAUGCUGGGACUAUAGUCCCUUCACUAUAAUAUCUCCAUUUAAAAUCUCUCUAAAUUCCCUAGUCUGGCCACUGCAGAAACCAACAAACCCUGGAGAGAGGCUGUAUGCCACCACAGGCCUAAUGCAGAGGAGCUGCGAUUGCAGCUGCUGUGUCCAGAGAGACCUUAUUGCAGAGCAGAUUAAUACGGUCUCAGGGUGUGUAAUCACUGCUUUUGUAAAUGCAUUCUUUUCCACUCCAUUCUUUUCCAUUUCCAUCUCCAAAAAGAUAACCAGAAACAGUUUGCAUUUGUGUGGGCAGAAAACAGUAUUCUUUCACAGAUUUGCCACAAGGCUGUGCUGACUCUCCGAUCCUCUGUCACGACAUUAUCUGAAGAGAUCUGACUGCCCAGCCAGCCCCCAGACUCUCACACUGACCCAUUAUGUCAGAACAUCACGCUGAUUGGGAGGGACAGGCAAGAGACUUUGGGAGGACACAGGCUCCAGAGGGGGGUUAUAACACCUGUGAAGAUUCAAGGAUCAGCCACUUGAAUUACGUUCUUAGAGGUCUAAUGGUUGGGAGGCGCCCCAGGAUAUCCUUCCAAAGUGAAAGAAAGGCCAGCCCCUGCACCUUUCAUCUCUACCACUAGGAAGGAAGCACCGUGCCUGGCAGGCUUCUUCAGCUUCUGGACACAACACACUCCACAUCUAGAAAUAUUGCCCUUCUCCUUAUACAGCCAGUAAGAACAUAUUUUUUGAUAAAUGGUUCAUGAUGGGAAAAUUCCUAUUUUUAGCACAUCCUUGAAAAAAUAGCUAUAUACUGACUUUUUAAAAAGCUAACAAUGUAAAAGAGUGUUUAUUUCCCUAUAUCUUCACUAACCCAACUCUUUUUUUGCUGGUUUAAUUGAUAAUACUUCAUUUUUUAAUUUCAUAUUUUUUAUUACUGUGAGGUUAAAGACAUCCAAAUGUAUACAAGCUUUGUGUAUUCCUUCUUUUGUGAACUGACUGUUUAUGAUUUUUUCCCAUUUCAACUGCAACAUUCAUUGUUCUUAUUGAUCUGCAAAAAUUUCUCUAUGUUCAAGAUAGCCCUACUUUAUAUGUAUAUUGUAAACUUUCCCCAGUUUUGUUAUUUGUUUUUUCAUUUUGUUUCUAGUGUUCCUCUUGUCUUUUAAGUAAACCCAAAUGUACGAGUGCCAACAGUAUGCUUACGUGCCACAGGAGCUGUGAAGGAAGCAAAGCACAUAGUCUUUGCCACAGAGGCACUUAGGAUGUAGUGGGGUGCCCGUCAUAAAUACGUGAGUCACCAAGCGAGAGAGCCUCUAAGCCGUCAUGGAUCAUAUUUACAUAAAAGUAGAAUUUCAUGAUCAAACAUAUUUAGGAAACAUUGGGAUAAAAAAAGCUUAAACUGUUUCUUUACCAUAGCACAGCUCAGAACCUUUAGUGUGCUGAAGUGUUUUGUGGCUUUUCAAGGUGUAGGGGGUGUAAUGACAGUAUGUGUCGUUGAGGUUGGUACAGACUUCGUGAAGGAGGUAAAUGUUGAACUGGGCUGUAGAGGCCUUGGCUUGAUUAAAAAAGGACAAUAUUACAGGGACGGGGCCAAGGGGAAGGUAGAACAAGCCAGGACUAAGGCAGAUACAUGGAUCCUCAGAAAACUAAUUAGAACAGGACAUAAGAGAAAGGACAGGGCUAUCUCAUUCACCUUAUUCUCACUGCUGUCUUUCCUUAUGCUUUCUGCCCAAUUUCUCUACAGGAAAAGUGAUCCGGGCCUAUUUCUCUGGCCCAUGUGGUCUGUAUCCUGGAAUCUGUCAGCCCUUAAACCCUGUGCCAUGGGGAGGUGCCCAAACACUCAGGGGCCCCUGGGGGAGAAGGCCUGCCCCCUGACGGUUCUGGGAAAGACGUCCUUGACAGAUGUAGCUCUGCACUCCCUCCCUUCCCUUCCAUGCAGGUUCAGCCAUUGAGCUCUCUGGCACCGAUGCCUCUUAAAUAUUUGCAGAAUGCUCUCCCACGCCCUUCAGUUGGUGCUGAGGUCAAGCCUGCAAGUUCUGCUCAUUUAGGUUUUACUCAUAAAUCAUUCUCUCCCUUCCCCUUCAAUGCUUCAGUGGCUCUUCCUGGAUCACCGCCUCCUUCUAGUCUCCAGGGAAGGACCUGUUCCCACCACUGGCCUCUGAGAAACCCAGGCUGCAAAACCAUCCCUUAGAGCUCUAAUACCACUUCUCUACCUCCAAACCAGAGCAGCAGAGUGAGCUCACCACAUGCCGUGACAUCACCCUCUUGGCUCCAGAGAUGUCCAACCCUGGAUAGAGGGAGGGGGAAUGGGCCCUAUCUUUAGGCAUGGGGUGGGAAGUCAGGACACCUGGGUUGCAUUCCUGGCUCAGCUUGAAGUUUGCACAAGUCACUGACUCUUUCCUGCUGGGACAUGACUUCCCUAACCACACACUGCCCAGCCCUUUGGCUUCCUAUAAUAAAGUCUAAAUGGGCAUCCAUCCAUGGUGUUCAGACACAAGGCUGCAUGAGCAGGAGCUGACCUCCAGGACGAACUUGAGCAUGGCAGUCUCUACCACGUGGUCAUCUCUUUUCUGAUGAUCGCAUUUCUUUAAGAUUCAUUUGCCCUGCUCCCAGAAUCCUGCGUAGGACACAACCAUAAGAUAAUAUGAAUUAAAUAACUCUGCACUGAUCUCACACAGAACUAAUCCUAGUCCAUACCUAUUCUUUGCCAAAAACUUGCUAAACUGUCCUGCUAAAACAAUGUAAAGCAACCCAAGUGCCUAUCAACAGACAAAUGGAUAAGGAAGAUGUGGUUUAUAUAUAUAAUGAAAUACUAUUCAGCCAUAAAAAAAAGACAACAUCGUGCCAUUUGUGACAACAUGGACAGACCUGGAUGGUAUUAUGCUAAGCAAAGUAAGUCAGACAUAGAAAGACAAAUACUGUAUGAUUGCACUCUUACAUGGAAGAAAAUAAACAAACACAGAGAUAAAGAGAACAGAUUGGUGAUUACCAGAGGGGAAGGGGGUGGAGGAGGGUGAGGGGAAAAGGGGCACGUAUGUAUGGUGACACACAAAAACUAGACUAUUGGUGGUGAACACAAUGCAGUCUAUACAGAAGCUGGAAUAUAAUAAUGUACACCUGAAACUUACACAAUGUUAUAAACCAAUGUGACCUCAAUAAAACAAUAUAAAGAAAGAAAGAAAAAAAAAUGCAAAGUAGCUAUCAUACCUAUGUUACAGACGAAGAACCAAGUCCAAAGAAAUUCAGUAAUUUACCCAAAGUCACGCAUUAGAAAGUAGCAGAACAAACGUCCAGAGACUUUUCUGCAACCCCAAACCACUGUGACCUCAGCAGGCAUGAGAGGCAAGCAGAGAACACUGACAAUAGUUACACAUUCUGAAACGUGAAUGGGAAGCUGUUUGAGUUGCAGCUUUGCCCACGUUUCCCUAACCCACCUUGUGCACCUCCUUCCACCCUAUUUUCACUUGAUAUGUUUAGGAGACAGAAACAAAAAUAAGGUAAGCCAUUUUGAAGUCUCCUAUUUGCCUAGAACCAUUAUGCUUGGCCUAGAGGCUUGAGAGAAUAUUCUCAAUACGGCCACGACCAAUCUAUUGGUUGGUCUGUGUCUUUUGACCCAUUUGCCAGAUUUGUUCCAGUCCAGUUGGUAAGACUAAACCUUUGGGAUAAAAACAGUCACAAUGGCCGAGAGGAGAAGGACAAACCAUAAUUAUUAAAAGUACCCAAAGAUCAGGGUGGGGUAGAAAUUGCCAAGAGAUGAAAUGAACGGAAGCAAAGCACAGACUCUGCUCUUCAGUGGCCUCAGUCUUCUGAAGCUGUGGUCUCUGGGCUAUAAGGAGCCUCUGACAUAAGGAGCCCUCAGCACCUGCCCCCAUUCUGAUGGUUGACACAAGGGCCCUUCCACUCUCCUCGGGGGCAGCAGCCUGAGUCUAGAGCCACCCCAGCCUGGCCCCAGGGCCAAGACCGUUCAUCACCCCUGCAGGCCCCUGUGAAUGCACAAGAGUUCCUUUGUUGCCAUCACACUAGGAUCUUUUAUUCUCCCCAAGACCCAGGAGCUUCUGUGUGCACUGGGCCCGCCUCCUCCCUUCCCAAGAUACUUUGAUCCUCCACCCAUUUGAAAUCUUGGUAGCUUUUCAACACCCUCCCAGACAAUCAGGUUCUUUUCUUUUCAAUAACCAAGCUGUUCUCCUUAUUUCGCCUCAGUUCUUAACAAAAAGUCUGACCAAGAAGAGUUCAAGGGGCAGAUGCCAGGAAAACAGCAGAAGCAGCACAUUCAGUUGGUUUCUGUCUGGGCCACUUACGGGGACUGAAAAGAAGUCACCAGCUGGCCUACACACUGCAGAAGAACCUGGCUCAGGCGUUAGAGCCUGUGGCCCCCAGUUCCCACUCGUCCCAAGGAAGGUGUGUGUCAGGAGCCACACCAGGGCUCGCAGAGGGAGCAGUUCUCACCUGGGCGAACAGAAAAGACAGUGCUCACGUCUAGAACUAGAAAAGAUACUGCUCCCAGAGAGGAAAGAAGACCCAAAGGCCUCUGGGAUGGGCCUGAAGGAGUGUUAGGACUUCAGCGGGGGUCGGGGCUGACCUACGCAAUGCCUUCAGGACCCCAGUAUACUGUCCCAAGGCCCGGCUGACACCGCUCUCUUCGGACUUGUGCUCCAUGUGCUGCUAUCAUGAAAAUCUUUGGAAAUCUCAACCAGGUUGUUUUGGUGGCUUAAGGGCUAUAGGAGAAGGGGACCAGAUAUUGCUUUUGAGCUUUGUGGUUGUCUGAAAAGACCAGGCUUGUGCUAGAAAGUUUUGGUUGUCAGAGUGAAGAAGUAAGGAGACUGGCCCAUCGUUCAGAGAACCUGGUAAGAAAAUCUUCAAAGCCAUGAGAACCAGCAUAGAGGAAGGGUCAUGAAUUGUACAAACAAUCCUAAAGGCUAGUCCUAGCUCCACCAUUUAUUUGCCAUGUGCCCUUGAGAAACUAAAAAAGCCAUGAACAUUAGCUUCCUCAUUUGAAUAUGGGGAUAAAAAUAAAUACUUUGAAGGGGUGUUGGAGAACAAAAUGAAAUAGUGUACAUAAAGUACUUGGCUCCUAGCAGGUGCUCCCAAAAUAUUUGUUCUUUCUUCUAAACCUUGAAGAUUCCAUCAGCAUUACGUUUUAAAACAUCUUUUUAAACAAUAGAACCCUUUGUAAAAUUGUCAGGUGUUUUGCCUUAGAAGCUGUGAGAUUUGUAGGAUGUAAUCGGAUAUUAUUUUAAUAACUAUGAGUUGUGUGGUCCUACUGGUCAGGAAGAAUAUGGAAAGGAGAUAUAAUUCCAUUAAUGUCAACGGCCAUUGGAGCUGAAUGGAAAAGAAAUUAAUAUAUCCUAGACAAAGCAAAGCAAAAUCAAGCCAAGUCAUGUAGCAGCCUGAGUUGGUUGUAGGCUUCCAUGACUAGCCUGGGAUGGGGCUUAGUGGAAUAAAAUGAAUGUAAGCAGGGGUGAUACCCUAAAUUCUUAACACCCUGUACAGUGCAGGUCCCAACAAACAGGGCAGAUACCAGUGGCAAGAAGCCGCUGUGCAGCCACACCAGUUUGUACAAUCCUGUGUACAAGGCCAACUGCUCGGACAUCAUGAAGCUCCCGGUGUGGACCACAAACAGGGCUGGCAAGAAUCCAGGCUGACUGCUCUGAAUUCUCCCAAAAUUGCUUGGGAUGGCAUUAUUAUUUCCUCAGUCAGUAAGUAUCUUUUAACUCUGAGAAGAUUUAGAAUGAAGAAGAGAAAUAUUUAAGAGGACCAAACUUAUAAUAUUAAUAUUUAUGCAUUAAGAAGAAAUCUGUGCCGAUUUAGUAGUAUAAGUAUUCGUAAUAAUCAAGAGAAUUUGCCAUAUUAUAAAAUAUACCUGCAUUGAAAAUUCUUAUUUGAAAUGUGUAGUUAAUUGACUCAGACUUGUAUAUUUAAGUUUAAUCUUUCAUAGUUUAUACACAGUUUUGGAACAGUUAAGAGUACUUAAGGAUCACCGUAUAUAUGUUUAUUUUAUUAAAUUUAUAAGAGUUAUUCAAGAAGUUGAGAAGGCUUAUUUUGUUAAGAUAUUGAAGGACUUCAAAAUGAUAAUAAAAUAUUCAAUUUAUGAAUGCAGUUUAAAAAGCUUAGACACAUUUAAGUCUGUAAAUGGGUUCAAUUAUUAAUCAAAGGCCUCCUUAAAAGUGAUUGACAACAUUUGCUAAACUUAUAAAUAGAAUAAGAUUUGUAAAUUGAACUUUAAGGUAAAACUCAGUUUUUGAAUAUAUAACUUUAAUAAAUUGUGUUAAUUUUUAAAAACCAAAGAAACUUCUGAAUAAUAUUUUCUGUAUAUGAAAUCUGUUCCUGAGGGCAAAAAGGAACUCCCCUUUGGGGAGAAAAAAAAUUAAAUCUUAAGAAGAAAUCGCAAUAAAUAAAGCAGAACUCUAAUUGAAGAGGGAUAGGGCCUGGAUCCAGCUUACUGUCUACCUCUUGGCUUCUCUCUCAACCCCAGACAGACGCAAAUCUCACCACCACUUCCAGCCCCGCCCCAUCCACGUUCAGCUCACUCUCCACCCAGCAAGGAGAUGAACUAAGCAGCACAGGGACAGUCAAUGGAGGACACAUACCAAAUAACGUAAAGAUCACUACACCUGAAUUUGCAUAACAAUCUGUGAGAGUUUAGAAAAAGUACUUAAAAUCUCUGAGGUUCAGUUUCUUCUUUUCUAAAGUAGAAAUUUUAAAAAUUUCUACUCUGAAGGUUAUUAAGAAAAGUAUAUAUAAUUCCGUAUUUUUUCAACUUUCACCACUAGCCACUGGGG